AUGGAUUGGCUGAAAUUGAUAACGCUUUUUCACUUUCACAUCAUGGGCUCUGCAAGCUUGUCAUCUCAGCUACAGGAUAAAACAGAGAGCAAAAGAAAACAGAGACAGAAAGAGCAGAGGAACCAUAUUGGAUUGGUGGAUCUGAGAACAGAGCAAGCAGAGAAAAUGAAGCACAAUGCAAACAUCAGGCAUGUCCUCUGUACUACAGAAUUGCAGACAGUAGAAUUAUGCAGAAGAACAGUUUGUGACCUUGGCCUCAACAAGAAGAAUGUGCAUAUUAUAUCAUGGCCGAAGGUUCCAUGCGACGGCUCUGAUUUGAACUGUGUUUGUUGUUUCACAUCAUCGGCUCAAAUGGAUAGGACCAACCUUUUUGUUUCUGACCAAAGAAGUUGA
rnacentral:rRNA from 1 species